AUGACACUGAAAGCUUUUUCUUUAUUACCUGCAGAGGAGAAGAAAGUAAAGAGCACUAAAGUGGAAGCAAAAGUUAAAAAGGAAGUGAAGGAUGGAAAAGGAGAAGCAAAGACGGCAGAGAAGGUGAAGCAGGCAGAGACAAAAACAACAGAAACUGGGCUAAUAAAGGCCAAAACGAAAGUUAAGGAGGAGAAAGCUCUUCAGACUGUAACUAAAUCGGACAAGAAAGGUACAGGACAUAAGGAAUUCGUACCACCUCGUCUCCUUCUAGAACACAGUCCAAGAAAGAAACCAGCAGCCUUUGAAGAAGAAAAGUCUACUGUGGAACCUAGAGAACUGAAAAGUACGUUGCUUUGUUGUUUUUCUUUAUUUUUUCAUUAUCUUCGUGUUAGUUUUAUGCAAG
rnacentral:lncRNA from 1 species